UUUCCGUAGGUGAACCUGCGGAAGGAUCAUUAUUGUAUAACCGAGGUGCGAGGGCUGUCGCUGACCCGAAAGGUCGUGCACGCCCGAGUGCCCUCACACAUCCAUCUCACCCCUAUGUGCACCACCGCGUGGGUCCCCCUUUGGCUUGUUCGGAGGGGGGCUUACGUUUUCACACAAACUUUGUAUGCAGUGUAGAAUGUAUUUUUUGUUUUUGUGAUCACGCAAUCAAUACAACUUUCAACAACGGAUCUCUUGGCUCUC
rnacentral:misc_RNA from 1 species